AAUAGAUACUCCGACAUCAGAAUCUCUCUCUUUCUCACAUCAAUCUUUUGUUUCCUUCUCCUUUAAACGAAAUUCUAAAUCAAAUUUCAAAUUCCCAACGGUCAAAUAGGCAACAAUAGAAGAGCUCCAUCUCGUCUCUCUCCACAACGUUCAUCUCUCUCUCUCUCUCUCUCUCUCUCUGUGAAACCUAUGAAACCUCCACCGAAGAUCUGCGAGAAUGCGUUCACUUCUAACUCUUCGAUCCCUAAUUUUCUUCCCAGUCUCUGCGAAGCCAAAAGUCAAACCCUGAGUCACGAUGCUACUGCAAUCAGAUCCGGCGAAGAAAACGCAGCUCCGGUAGAUCCAAACACUGAUCAUCACAAUCGCCAUCAAAAUCCCCCUCCUCUGUGAGUCAGAUCCUUAAAUCUCACGGUCAGGUUGAAAUUCUAGCAAAUCUGGGCGGCCAUAUCCAGGUAAACGUAGAAUUUUCUGGAUUUUCUUGUUUCAGUUCGAUAAACUCUGAUUUAAGAGUCAACAGAUUAUUUCUUGAACUUGAGAAGUUGCUUAUUUAAGACUUGAAUUGGAAGAAACAGUGAUGCAAUUGGCUUGAAUUUUGAGAACUUUUACCGGUCCAGAAAAUGGGACUGGAUACUGUCGUUUCUCCUCUCUCGUGUACUUCAGAUUUGGAAGAGGCCAAAAUCUUCAGCUAUGGAGGCCGAAGAUUCUUCAAACAACGGCAGCAUCGGCGUCUACGCAAAUCUCGACCCUGGUACAAACCCUAACCCUAACAGUAAUGGUUGUUGAAUGCAUUGGCUAUCCCCUCUCCCUCCGUCUGCCUCGUCCGCUUUGCCGGAGAUGGCGCCGGCGAUGCCGUCGGGGGCUCCAUCUUUGGCUGCGAUGCUGAUAUUUCCUUCUCUCGCUUUUUACAUGUGUGUGCUGAGUUUUAUCUGUGGUCAUAUUAACCUGGCGGAACUGUUGCGUUGGAAGUAUAUUCACAGUAGAAAUUGGGCAUACCUAUUUCCGGCAUUGAGCUUUUCUCUGUGUUUUUAUUUGAUUGUUCUUGUGAUUUUUGAGUUGGCUUAGUAUACGUUUUGGGUUUCUAGGCUUUCCAAGUUUGAGAUUUAUGCUUGCCAAAGGGGAUUCUACAUUUUUGGUCAUACUUGAUUGCUUUGAUUGUCGAGGUUUAUGUUGUUGUGACAAAAUCUGCCUGAAUAUUUACUAAGAAGAAAGAACCCUUAGCGUUUGUUCGUUUUGUUUAGCUUUCUGUCACAAACAUUAUUAAGCAGCAUUUGCACUAGUUUUUCAUGGGAUGGAGAAUCCAUUGUUUUAUUCUGUGUGAUUAUGUUGGUCGGUGUUAAAGUAGCAAUGAUGGGUUCUGCCUCUAAAUUCUGUUUGGUUGAGAUUGCCACACUGGUAAGAACCAUCAACGUUUGUUAUUAUGCUCCUUCAGCGAAACUUCUGGAACCAAGUUACCGGAUUUCUAUCUUGAUUGAUGUUCUUAAGCAUAAGCAGUAUUUUUGUAGUAUCCUUUGUUUUGUUCCGUACGGGAUUGUUUUUGGCCAAUGUUGAAACCCAGAUAUAAGGGUUUGCCUCUUUUGUUGGUUAAGAUAACCAAACUGCUAGCUAAACAACAUCUCUUGUUUGGGGAUCAGGUUCUGGAUUGUCCGCAUAGGUAUAUCCAUAAUAUACAUAUAUUGCUGAUUAUGUAUGUUCAUUCUGAAACUGCCUGUCGUUGCAUAUUAUUCCUUUUGCAAAUGGCAACUAAAUCAUUAUGAUUCCUUUUGUUAGACUAGACGUUUGUUGUUCUACAACUGAAUCAUUAUGACUUCGCGAGCUGACCUCUCCCUUUCUUGUGGCAUGCAUAAUGUGUCUGUGUAAAAGUUUUCUGUUUCUAACUUUGAGACAAGUGUUGUUUGGGUGCAGCCAUUAAUGUUGGAGCUGCAGGGUGCUGCAACGGCCUUGUUCUUAGUUUCCAUGUUGCAAAGUACUAUAUUUGUCAUGCUUCUGAAUUCGGAUCACAUCGACGUAGAUGUGAAUGGUUGUGUUGUAAGUGAGAAAUUGGGCAUAUCUAUUUCCGGUAUUGAUCUUUUCUCUUGUAUUUAUUUCAUUAUUCUUGUGAUUUUUGAGGUUGUGUAGUAAGCGUUUUUGGUUUCGGAGUUUUCCGAUUGGAGAUUUUUGUUUGCUAAAGGGGAUUGUUUUAUCUCUACUCAUACUUGAUUGCAAUGGUUGUCAAGGUUUAUGUAGCUGUACCAAAAGUUGUGCAGCCCUUAACGUUUGUUCGUUUUGUUUAGCUUUCUAUCUCAGACUUUAUUUAGCAGCUUUUGCAUUAGUUUAAUGGGCUGAAGAAUCUAUUGUUUUAUUCAUGUGUGAUUAUGUUGGCCGGUGUUGAAGUACCUGUGACGGGUUCUGCCUCUAAAUUCUGUUGGUUGGGAUUGCCAAACGGUAAGAACUGCCACGUUUUUUCUCAUGCUUCUUCUGGGAAUCUUUUGAAACCAAGUUGCCAGUUUUCUAUCCCGAUUGAUGUUUUAACCAGUUUUUUUAAGUACCCGUUGUGUUGUUCCGUUUGUGAUUUUUUUGGCCAAUGUUGAAACCCAGUGAUAAGGGUUUUGCCUCUUUUGCUGGUUGAGAUGACCAAACUGCUAAACAACAUCUCCUUGUUUUGGGAUUAGUUUCUGGAUUGUUCAAGAAGAAAUGUUUCAAAGGAUCAUCUGUAGUUGCAGGGUAGUCUGCAAAGGUAAAUCCAUAGUAUGUAUAUUGGGUGAUUAUGAUCAUUUUCAAACUGCCCCGUUGUUGCAUAUUAUUCCUUUUGUCAAUGGCUACCGAAUCAUUAUGAUUCCUCUGUCAGGAAAAGAUGAUGGUGAGGCUCUAAAACUUUGCGAGCUGACAUCUCCCUUUACGAUUUAUGCAUAAUGUGUCUGCAUAAAAGUGAUCUUUGUUUUGCAGCCAAUACUGUUGAUGUUGCUGGGUUCUGCACAGGUCUUGCUCUUAGUUUCCCGGUUUAAAGAGCUCAUCCUAACAUUAAUGAUUCUUCCAAGGCAGUGCCUAUCCGUUGUCCCUCUGUCUGGAACUGUAAUGGCUCCAUCUUUGGCUACGGUGAUGUUAUUUCCUUCUCCACAUCUUUAUGUGUGUGUGUGUGUAUCGAGUUUUAUCUGUAGUUAUAUUAACCUCGCGGAAUGGUUGUGUCAAAAGUGAGAAAUUGUGUAUUUCCAUUUCCAGCAUUGAGCUUUUCUCGUGUAUUUAUUUGAUUGUUCUUGUGAUUUCUGAGUUGGCUUCGUAAGCGUUUCAGUUUUCGGGGCUUUGCAAGUUGGAGAUUUAUGCUUGCCAAAGGGGAUUGAUUGUUCAUCAUUUUUUGUCAUACUCGAUUGCUUGUUGUCUAGGUUUAUGUUGAUGUAGCAAAAUCUGUGUGAAUUUUUAAUGAGUAGAAAGAACCCUUAACAUUGGAGAUUUAUGCUUUGCAUGUUGGAGAUUUAACGAGUCAAGUGUUUUUUGUUUGCAGCCAUUAAUAUUGGUGCUCCACAGGUCUUGCUCUUAGUUUUCCUGUUCCAAUAUAUUGGCUGGCUGUCCGCUCUCCCUCCAUCUGCCUCGUCCACUUCGUAAUGUUUCCAUAUUUGGCUUACGGUGCUGUUAUUUCCUUAUUUCUGUGUGUCGGGUUUUAUCUAUAGUUAUAUUAACCACGGAAUGGUUUGUCUUGAAAGUGAGAAAUAUAAUUGGGUAUACCCAUUGCCCCCGAAUCUGAACCCCCGAUGAUACGAACCCUAAUCCUAGCACUAACUAUUCUUCCUAAGGCAUCUGUUGUUUGUAAUAUGCAUUGCAUUCACUUAGAUCAUUCCAUAUCAAUAUUUAUGUAAAGAUUACACUUAGAUCAUGGCCCUGGUUUGACUGUGAUUGCCCAUAAAAGUAUUCGCAAAAAAGUGCGUCCUUGUGGUUACCCUGUUCCAUUCUUGACGAAUAUCGGAUGCAGCUUCUUUAGAAUUGUCAGUGAAAAAUAACGUUACGGCAUUUUGGACUUCUAAACAUUCACGAACCUGGACUUUUCCACAAGGCGGCAUAGAGUAAAAGUCAAGUAAAUGAUAUUCUAUAUAUAUAUCUCUAUGCAUCCACAUUCUUUGGAAUCCCAAUUUUUUUUUAAAAACAACAACGAAAAUGCAUUGGCAGCAGGUUGCGAGGGUGAUCACUUUGAUUCUCCUCGCGUUCUUCGCAUCAAGAACAUCCUUUGCCAGGCUCCAUGAACAUCCUCCCAUAACAAGUAAGUUUCUCGUUCUUCACGGCGUUAAAAUCUUUCAUAUGACCUUUUUUUUUUUUUUGUUGGCUGAAGGAAUAGGAGAAGAGAUUAUUCAGAAACAAUAUAUUGGAGGUACCAAGAUCAAGGUACCGAGCAGCACUUCACGGCAUGCGCCUGGUGGUCGUGGAGGGUGAAAGAGAUCAGCAUUUCAUGGAGAAGCGGAACUUGAAGAAGGGUUCAUAAAGAUUCUGAUAAGUUUUUCCCGCACUCCUUGUUAAUAUCCAAUAAUAAGCAUAAUCCCUCGAGAUGCAUAAACUCAAAAAAAAAAUAUUCUAAUAAAGUAAAGGUAGGUAUAUAAAAAGAAGAGUUCGAGAGUCUUAAAAACAGUUGGAAUGUUCUUAUUUAUUUAUUUAUCAAGGGCCUUAUAAAAAAGAUGAAGUUUCUUGAGA